UGAAGGAUAGAUGAUUUCAUUAUUUUGGUUCUUUAUUUUUGGGAUAUACAGGACCUAAAGGAUUGGGAGAUGGUUUUAGAUCAUUUGAUUGAGCUGUAAUUGUCGUAUUUUGGGCGGUACCCUCUUAAUACCUUUGGAAUGAAUUCUCUUUUUUAUUUAAAAAAAAAAGUUUGGAAAAGAAAAAAGGGAAAUCUCAUUGCCCUGUUACAAAUAAUGUUAUGGAUAUCAUAACUUACAGUAUCACUAUUUUGGCAUGGUAGGAGAGGAUCCUUCUUGAGGUUUUGUUUGACUAUUGAUUGGUGUUUGCUUAUGGUGGUGAUCUUCAGCCCAAUAAAUAGGAAGUUCAGAUUACACCAUGAGGAUUUGAAACUAAUUUGCCUAACAUGUGGAUUUUAAGCAAACAUUAUGGGAUUUUGUUUGACUAUUUCACCUGUGCUGAUUAUGGGAUAGAUGAUCAAACAAAUGACUAGGAAAUUAGAACUAAGUUAGGAGAAUUUGAAACUCAGUUUGGUUAAGAUGUGGAUUUACUUUUCAACUCUAGAAAAUUAAUUUCCACCUUUCUUAUCUUUGACGCUAUUUUUUGAUCUUUUACUUUAUUUAUUGUUUCUGCAUAAAGAGUGCUUAUAAGUCCUCAUUAUCUAUUCGCUCUAUGAUUCAUAUUUCAUAUGUGACUGCUUUUAGUUGUUUUCUUGGUCAUGUUCCCUUAUUUGGUUAACAGAGAUUGCCUUUGUUAGAAGCAGCACUGUACAAGGUUGAUUCAAGUGAUCCACCUACCAUUUCGGCAAUCAUUUGCAAAUACUCUCAGGAACCCAGUUUGAAAGAGCAGAGUGCUUAUCACAGGUUAGUUCUCAGUUAGUUUUUAGUUCUUCUGCUUGUUUGUUAAUUGUAGGUGGUGGCUGAAAUUGUAAGAGUCUUUAAUUUGCAAACUUAGAAGUUUUCACUUCUAAAACCCUGGGAUUGGAAUCUAGUAGAGGGACAACUAAGCACAAAAUCAAUCAAGAAGCUGGAAGUUUUUGUACUAUACUUGUCUCCUUCUCUCCUUGUGAUGAUAGUUAGGUCUCAUAGGAGAGAAUCCAUAAUCUCUUUGAGAUUUGUAUUGGUUUGGUGAGAGCAAUUCAUAUGGUCUUUUUCAUACUUUGAGUAAAUACAUAUAUAUUGAGACUGAGAAAACUAUUCUCCGAUACCUUAGAUUGGCCUUCUGAUAGUUUCCUAAUAAAAUACUAACCAUUCCAAAUUGCCUAAUCUAAUCCACGACCUAGUCUCUUUAUAAACAAGAGAUACAUUGAACUUAAUAAUAGGAUUCAAAUAAAGAGAAUUAUUCUGCCAUAGAAGUUUUGUACUUCAUGCCGUGAGUCCUACACUUACCUUAUAAGUGAACCAGCUAAGUCUAUUAGUUUCAGCUACAACAUGGCUGCUUACCUUGUAGAAUGGUUGUACAUGUGGGAGAGAUUGUGUAGGACUCAAUCUCCCUUUAUCUGUUUUAAAAACAAUAAAUAUACUCAACACUUUCAGAGAGGCCCUCCAAUGGACCAAAAACUCUUGAUUAUCACUGGCAGUUGAGAAUUCGGGAUGGCCGGUGGAACAAGAAAAGUUCACCUUGUGCAUCAGGGAGCAGGAUUGCUUGGGCUGAUUUCGAACCAUGACUUCUAGGGCAGGAGAUAUGAAAGGCUAGGUGAAUGUGAUAAUCUAAUGGAAGUGUUGGUUUGUAACUGUCCAACUCUAGCUUCAACGGGAAAUGGUCUAGAAUAUUGUGGAAUAAAUCCUUUAAAUUGUGUUGGCUCAAGGGAAGUUGCCUAUGGAUGAAUAUGAAGAACGCUUGCAAGUUUUAUUUUGCUUUUUUUAACUCAAUAGUUUGGCAUCUCAUAAUAAUGUUUUUGUUAAGUUCUUGGAAGGUUCUUGCUCAGUAUAAGGUAAACGUUUUUGUUUUGAUUAUAGUUUUCGCUAUGUUGAGUGCUAAUGAUUUGCUCAAGCUUGUAAAUUGAAUCACGCUUUGUUCCUGUGGACAUGUAUGAUGUGUUAUAGAUAGGGGUGAACAUUAUCGGGUCCGGAACAAAAAACCAGGCUGGACCGGCAAGUUCGGCCCAAACAAUAAUGUUUUGUCUGGUUUAAAAAUUUUUGGAGCAUUUCGGUCCGUCCGAAUUCGGUCUAGUCCGGUUUAGACGGAUCAAUAUUUUUUUAAUACUGAAAAUUAAACGUAUAAGUAUAUAAUAAUAUGUGUAAUAUAUACAUUAUGUAAAUAAAAUAUUAAAGUAUUAAAUGCAUAAAUAAUUUAUAUUUCUUUAACAUUUAAAAUUAAAAUAUUAAUAUAAAAAUAAUAUAUUUAAAAAAUUAAAUUUUUUGAGCACAUCUUGGUCCACUUUGGUCCAAGACUGGACUGAACAAAUUUUCGGUUCGAUCGGGUCUAGACUGAAGGUAGAUUGGUCCAGUCUUUGGUUCAAAAAAUAUUUUUUUAUUCAGUUUUACUCUGGACCAAUUAAUAACUUUUUAAUAUUAAAAUUAAAAAUAUAAGUAUAUUAAUAAUAUAUGUGUAAUACAUACAAUAUGUAAAUAAAAUAUUAAAGUAUUAAAUGUAUAGAUAAUAUAUAUUUCUUUGACAUUUAAAAUUAAAGUAUUAAUAUAUAAAUAAUAUAUUUAAAAAAUUAAAUUUUUGGAGCACAUCUUGGUCCGCUUCCGGACGGAACAAAAAAUUUUCGGUCCGAUCCGGUCUGGACUGAAGGUAGAUUGGUCCAGUCUUUGGUCCUGAAAUUAAUUUUUUAUUCUGUUUCAGUCCAGACCGAUUAAUAUCUUUUUAGUAUUAAUAUUAAAAGUACAAGUAUAUAAAUAAUAUAUAUUUGUAAAUAAAAUAAUAAAGUAUUAAAUGUAUAAAUAAGAUAUGCUUUUUUAACAUUUAAAAUUAAAUAUUAAUAUAUAAACAAUAUGUUUAAAAAAUUAAAUCUUUUGAGCACAUCUUGAUCCACUUCGGUCCAAGCUAAAAUUUUUUUCGGUCUGAUCCGGUAUGGACUGAAGGUAGAUUGGUCUAGUCUUUUGUUCAGAAAAUAUUCUUUUUUAUUCUGAUUCAGUCUGGUCCGAUCCGAUCUG
rnacentral:lncRNA from 1 species